UACGUAGGGGGCAAGCGUUAUCCGGAUUUACUGGGUGUAAAGGGAGCGUAGACGGCGAUGCAAGUCUGAAGUGAAAGGCGGGGGCCCAACCCCCGGACUGCUUUGGAAACUGUAUGGCUGGAGUGCAGGAGAGGUAAGUGGAAUUCCUAGUGUAGCGGUGAAAUGCGUAGAUAUUAGGAGGAACACCAGUGGCGAAGGCGGCUUACUGGACUGUAGCUGACGUUGAGGCUCGAAAGCGUGGGGAGCAAACAGG
rnacentral:rRNA from 1 species